GUAAUGUCUGUAGUUCAAAGUGUUGCAUCAUUGAUUUUAGAAGCUGUCUUGCUUUUGGAAAAAAGAAGUGAAUAAAAUUUGUGGUGGUGAAGUUCUGCAUAGUUCAAUACUACCUAUGGUUCCAAAUUUAGAUUAGUCAUCUACUCAUAAACUAAUUUUGAUGUUCCUUGGCUUUGAGGUAAACAUCAUUGCUUUAACUCUUUGAAUGCUUGAGAUGCUGCAGAUUUCAAAAAAGAAAAGAAAAAAGAAGACAAUCUUGCCAGGGGAUAUCAAGAUGGCAGAUUUCAAGCAAUUUCUUGUGGUCAAGGGAUUCAGAUAAAGAACUUGGAUCCUUUGCCCAGGCAUGCUAUUGCUGCUGCCCACUGCCCACUCCAAAUCUUUAAGACAAACAUGACAAGUUUCUAGUUAAUGUCGAAUCUAAGCUUUUAUCUUUUCAACCUGAAGGUAUCAAGUUCAUAUUGCAGCAUGGAGUGGGGAUCCUUUUCGAUGAUGAAAUGGGGCUAGAAAGAGUCUUUAGGCACUAGGCUUUUUAUAAGUUUGUGCUUUGUUCCUUGUAUUCUCUUAAUCUAGAUCUUGUUGUCAAGAUAGAUUUGUGUAUAACAACUUUGGAAAAUGAAUUUCAUUUUCUGUAUUGCAAAUCAAUAAAAUAUACUAUUUGUUCCUGCC